ensembl:snRNA U2 U2 spliceosomal RNA
AUCGCUUCUCGGCCUUUUGGCUAAGAUCAAGUGUAGUAUCUGUUCUUAUCAGUUUAAUAUCUGAUAUGUCCUCUAUUUGAGGACUACAUAUUAAAUGGAUUUUUGGAACUGGGAGAUGGAAUAGGGGCUUGCUCCGUCCACUCCAAGCAUCGGCCUGGUAUUGCAGUACCUCCAGGAACGGUGCACCUCCC